AAAAAUUUAGUUAAUGAAUAACAUUAACUUGUCAAGUUAAAGUAAUUAAUAUUUAAUAAUUUUUA
rnacentral:tRNA from 1 species